UCCUGGCCUCAAGUGGCCCUCCUGUCCCAGCCUCCCAAAGUGCUGGGAUCUCAGGCGUGAGCCACCAGGCCCGGCCUCUAUGUAAUCCUCGACACUUGCUUUUCAUCCUCACCUGCAGUGACCGCCGUCUCCCCUGCUCCUGCCCCUGCCACCUGCGUGGAGGGAGUCCUGGGACACCUGGCACCAUGCCCUGCAUGUAGCGAGCAGGGACUGGCAGCUGGUGGUGCUGCUGUGGCCCCGGCUACAAGUCAGGACGCCCCGGUGACCUCGAGACAGCAUGCUUGUCCCUCCCGCUCAGAGGGCGCCCGGUGGACGGCAGCAAUGGGGUCCCCCAGAGCUUGCUGGGAACAGGACCUGUGAGGACCCGGGGCGGAAGCAGCUGGAAGAAACGGGCAUAGGAGUCGGGGGAGCUUGAAGAUCCGCUGAGAUUCAGGGCGGCGGUGCCGGGGGAGCACCCACAGCAUCUCGUGUCGUCUCCAGUUACUUUCCCCGACGCUUCCGAGACUCAGCACGUUGUUCCAGAACGGGCGACUGCUCCUGUCUUUGCGGAGGAGGAGCCCACGGCACGUGUCACCCAUUUGUG